rnacentral:lncRNA from 1 species
GACUUUCUGUUUUCAUCAGUUCAACAAAGUGAAUCUUUUCAUCUUGCAGACUCUGUUUCAUCAGCUCUAAAUGUUCCCUUUCAUCCUGGAGAGUCUGAUAAACUUCCAGAUAAAGCUGAUUUGAUUCUUUCUCUUUUUCCUCAAAUUCUGCCAUCUGUUGCAUCAGACUUUCCUUCUCGACGUGUAAAAUGUCGAACCCCUCUUGGAGACGACUGUAUAUUUCUGCAAUCUCCUUUUCAGAUUCUGUCUUCUGUGUUUCAAAGUGAAUCAUUUCCUUCUGAAAUUUUUUCCUGUCGAGAAUCAGGUCUUCUAAUCCCUCCUGCAAAUUGUUCUGACUGUUCUUUAGACGAAGUCUUUCUGCUUUUAUCAGUUCAAGAAAGUGAAUAUUUUCCUCUCGCAGCUCCUGAUUCAUCCGUUCUCUCUCUUUUUGCAGGAGUUCCUUAUUAUUCUGAUCCAAUUUGUCCUGAACUUCCACAGAUUUGAGUUUCUGCCGCUCCAGGCUUUGUUUCUCAAAGUCUAACGAUUUGUAGCCUUCCUUGAGAAUGCUGUAUAUUUCUUCAUGCUCCUUUUCUGUUUCAGCCUUUGCUUUGUCAAAGUUCAACUUGUCUUCCUGCAGGGCUUUUGUCUGGAGAAUUACAUCUUGAAAGCCUUUCUGUAAAUUAUUUUGACUUUCAGUUAACUUUAGCUUUUCUAUUUGAAGCUUAUUUUUAAAAUCAAUCUUCUCUUCCUCCAGAGUUUGCCAAAUAAGUUGUAGAUUUUCUUUCUCUUCUUGCAGAAUCUGUCGAGCAUUUUCAUUCUCCAGCUUUGAGCUAGACUUAUGCUGUUCGAACUCGUCUCUCUCAGCUUGCAAAGCUUGUCUCAGUUCUUCAAGUUUGUUUUCUGAAAAUUUCUUUGAUUCAUCAAAAUCGAAUUUCUCUUUCUCCAGAUCUCUUUUCAUCUGGUUUAUUUCUUCAAUCGCAUUUGCUUUGCUGUCUUGCAGCGAUUUCCAAAGCUUUUCCGUUUUAGAUUUUUUCGUAAUCAAAUCUUCUAGAAAUUCCUGAUUUGAUGUUUUAACUUCUUCAAUCUGCUUCCAUUCUUUUUGAAUUUCUGUCUUAGCUGUGUCCAAAUCUUUGCUUUCCUGCUCAAGCCUCCGUUUCUUUUCUUCUAGACGUUGAUUUUCGUCU